rnacentral:rRNA from 1 species
GAUGAACGCUGACAGAAUGCUUAACACAUGCAGGUCGAUGGGGAAGUGGUGCUUGCACCAUGGCAACCAUGGCGGACGGGUGAGUAACGCGUAAGGGACUUACCUGCAGGACUGGGAUAACAGGGGGAAACUCCUGACAAGACCGGAUAAUGUCAUGGAGCUGCAUGGCUUUAUGAUGAAAGGAGACGCCUGCGGAGAGCCUUGCGUCCUAUUAGCUAGUUGGUGAGGUAAUGGCUCACCAAGGCGAAGAUAGGUAGCCGGCCUGAGAGGGUGGACGGCCACAAGGGGACUGAGAUACGGCCCUUACUCCUACGGGAGGCAGCAGUGGGGAAUAUUGGACAAUGGGGGCAACCCUGAUCCAGCAAUUCUGUGUGCACGAAGAAGGUUUUCGGAUUGUAAAGUGCUUUCAGCAGGGAAGAAGUAAGUGACGGUACCUGCAGAAGAAGCGACGGCUAAAUACGUG